GAGAGAGGAGCCAGAGGGAGAGGAGGGGGGAGAGGAGAUCUGUUGCAGGCAGGGAAGGCGUGACCUGAAUGGAGAAUGCCAGCCAAUUCCAGAGACACACAAGGACUUCAGAACAAAGAUAAGGCAUCGCUGACACCACACCGGGGACGCGCUCAUAGACAAGUCGGACAGAGGGGACCAAGGCCAGGCGGCCAGGAGCACGCGGUGCAGGACAAUGAGGUGGCUCCUCCUCUGUCUAGUUCUGUGCUUCUCCCUGUUGAACGCUUCGAGCCACACUGUGGAGCUAAAUGAUAUGUUUGGCCAGAUUCGGUCACCUGGCUAUCCUGACUCCUAUCCAAGCGACUCAGAGGUGACUUGGAACAUCACCGUCCCAGAAGGAUUUCGGAUCAAGCUUUAUUUCAUGCACUUCAACUUGGAAUCAUCUUACCUUUGUGAAUAUGACUACGUGAAGGUAGAAACGGAAGACCAGGCGCUGGCAACCUUCUGUGGGAGGGAGACCACAGAUACAGAGCAGACCCCCGGCCAGGAAGUGGUCCUCUCCCCUGGCUCCUUCAUGUCCAUCACUUUCCGGUCAGAUUUCUCCAAUGAGGAACGAUUCACAGGCUUUGAUGCCCACUACAUGGCUGUGGAUGUGGACGAGUGCAAGGAGAGGGAGGAUGAGGAGCUGUCCUGCGACCACUACUGCCACAACUAUAUCGGUGGCUACUACUGCUCUUGCCGCUUCGGCUACAUCCUCCACACAGACAACAGGACCUGUCGAGUGGAGUGCAGCGACAACCUCUUCAUCCAGAGGACCGGCCUGAUCACCAGCCCUGACUAUCCCAACCCUUACCCUAAGAGCUCUGAAUGCUUCUACACCAUUGAGCUGGAGGAAGGCUUCAUGGUCAGCCUGCAGUUCGAAGACAUUUUUGACAUUGAGGACCAUCCUGAGGUGCCCUGCCCAUAUGACUUCAUCAAGAUUAAAGCUGGUCCCAAUGCUUAUGGGCCUUUCUGUGGGGAGAAGGCACCAGAACCCAUCAGUACCCAGAGCCACAGUGUCCAGAUUCUGUUCCACAGUGACAACUCAGGCGAGAACCGGGGCUGGAGGCUCUCCUACAGGGCUGCAGGAAACGAGUGCCAGGAGCUACGGCCUCCUGUCCACGGGAAAAUUGAGCCCUUGCAAACCACGUAUUCCUUCAAAGACCAAGUGCUCAUCAGCUGUGACACAGGCUACAAAGUGCUGAAGGAUGAUGUGGUGAUGGACACAUUUCAGAUUGAGUGUCUGAAGGAUGGGACAUGGAGUAACAAGAUUCCUACUUGUAAAAAAAGCAAGAUUGAUUUGGAGAACGAACUCCAGGCAGAGCAAGUGACAGAUGAAUGAUGGGAAUCUCACACAGUGCAAGCAUCCAGGAAUGGAUCCUUCUCAAGGACACUGGGCCCCAGAGCUACUGCACCCCUUCCCACCCACCAACAGUCCAUUGCCCAUUUUGGUGUGGAUCAUGGAUACUGAGCUCAGCCACACAACUCAGCAGUUGAAGUUCCUGGGUGUCUGAGAACAAAUUAUCCUCUGAGGGGUCACUCAUUCAAAUAUUACAUCAGAAAAUAACAAAAAGACAAUGGACAAACUUUUAGGCCCUCUAAGUGGAUUAUACGUUUCUCAAAGCAGAAAUGCCUUCAGUUAGAAACUCAAGAUUCAAACAAUCAUGCAGCCUUUGUCCAGCCAGAUCAACAUGGGCCUUGGUUUCUAAUCCAUUACACACUUCAAAUGUGCCAGAAUGCCGAUGACUUUAUGACUUUAGUGUUUGUAUCUGUUGUUACUUUCUUAACAACCAUUAGGAGGUAAAAUGAAUAAUAACCCAAAUAGUAUGGAUUUUUUAAGAAUCUGGAUAUUUUCUCAUUCACAAAGUAGUCCUUCUAAUUCAUACUUCACACAGGGCUGAAAGUCCGUCACUAGAGGUUCUUCCCUCUGGGGUUUACAAGCUUUGUGUUUCUUAGGAUUCACUGGUUAAAAUUUUUGAAAAGAUAGGCAUCACGUGUGGAAGCCGUGGGCCUCACCUCUGGAGCCGUGGACAUCACCGGGUCAUAAACGAUGAAGAAGGGCUGAGGAGCAGCAGCCUGCAUGUCAGGAGCUCUGUUCCAGGCUAAAUGAGGUCUAGACACACAUUUCAGAGGACCCUUGUAUUAGACUGCGACUCCCCAACAGGCCCGAUGAGUAAUUGGCCACUUGGUGAGGGCAGAAUGCCAGCAAGCAUGCACAGCAAGCAGUCUGGAAGGUGAGGUGCCAUCCUAGUAGAGGGGCACCACUGGCCAUUGAUGAACAAGUGUCAGCUGAAAAAGUGUUUGUGAGCCCACACAGCAUCAUAUUCAUUGUGAUAGAGGGAAUCAUAAUGGAAGAGGAAGAUCUGAUAUGUGCCCAAAUAAUUGUGAUACCAGGCAACAUAAGACACGUGUGUGCCAUCAGAGGGACACAGAUAAAGAGUUUUAGAAAAAGGAGUCUGCCUUGUCUAGUCAGAAAAAUUAGAAACAAUCUUCAGGAAGAAGAAUUAUGUGAUCAAAACCUGAGCGGUGAUCACAGGGACAUGGGGUGUCCCAGGCAGCAGUGAUGGCAUCAGCAGGACCAGAAAAUAGCACAUUGAAAGGCCAUUGAUAUUGAACUGUAUGUGAGGAAAGAAGAAGACGAGGCUGGGAAGAGAGAUGGGGGCCCAAUCUCUGGUCCUGAGGGACAAGGACAGCUGAAUCUGUGUAGUUCUCUAGGAAAGUCCCAGGCUGUGGUACAGCAUGCUCAGAACUGCAGGCUAAGAAGGAUAAAAGGUGAGAGGUGACAGUGGACACAUAAUAAAGGUUGACAAGCAGAGAAGGUUAUGGAAAUGAGAAAGGGAAGGCAGUCAGAUUCCAGGGUAGGGAAGUCACCAGAGAAAGCUUUGCAAAACAGGAUGAGACCUUUCCUAAAGCAAGCUGAGGAGAGCUGAGACACAGCAUCUGACACAGUUGAUAGUACCAGGCAGGCUCAGGGCCCUAGUGAAGGGAAGUAGCCUCCAUGUCCCAGAGCGUGACGGCCCUUUGCCUGCUGUUGUUCCUGUGGGAAGAGGGUAUACCCUUCCCCAUUCACUGUAUUAACACUAUCGCUAUAUUAACAUGACCCUCUGUUUUCUGUUGCUUACCACCCUCUUUCUCUGGUUAUAAAACCAACUCUAUCAAUGAGUAGACUCACUUCCCGGAGUCAUGUGAAAUGAUUCCUUCUCCCAGGAAAAUAUCUCCCCACCAGCCUCAGCCACCCAAAUCCAAAGCUAGCCCUGGAAUUUAUCUACUAGGAACCAGGCAGUCAAGGAUACCAGGCAAUCAAGGAUACUUUAAACUAAAGAAACUGCUAGAAGACAUUAAGGGAACAACAGCAUCAGUAAUCUCUAGCCAUUGGACAGUGGCAUUUCCUAAAGAAGAGGAAAAAUCUGCCUUGAGUCUCUGUAGGCAAAUAAAUUAAAAUUUGUUUAUAGUUUCAAAUAGUAAAUAGUAUUACCUCGUAUUAUUCUGGUAUUAACUUGUACACAUUUACUUCACAAACUAGAAGAUUGUUUCAACUUUGGGUGACCAAGCAGAUGGUAAUGAUUUGUCCAGAGAGGUUAGUGGCCAGGAAAAAAAAUCACUUGUUUGUUUGUGUUUUGGUUUUUGCCUUCCUUGUACAUAAGAUAUACCUACACUUACUUACUUCCUUUAUCACUUUCCUGCAACCUAUAGGGCCUUGAAAUCUACAUAUUUAAAUUAGAUAACUCUCUGAAGACAGAAAAGAAGAAUUAGAAAACCUAAUGUUAAAAUCACAAUGUUUACUUAGCACAUAGGAAUAAAUUGCCCCUGUAUUUCCUAAGAUGAGAAGGUGAAAUCAGGAGAAGGUAGAAUUUUAGAAAUUCCACCAGGACUCGAAAAAAUGACAAAAAUUGUCCACCAGCUAAUAUCUAGGAUAGGCCAUUGAGCAGGAAAACAGAUUAUUACAAGCAAUCAAUACUACUUACUACAAAGGCACUGAGUUCCAGAACAGCUCUAGUGCUAACUGAUGAGCUCUCUAGUGUCCUUACAUGAAUCAAGUCCUCCUCUCUGGGUUUAUCUGAAAACUAAAGAGGAUGGAUAUUCUGGAUUGCUUACCUGGGGUUCCUUUCCGAUUGUGAAAUUCCACAGUCCCCCUCUGAUUCUUCAACUCUGCCUCAGGCUGUGAGGACUGUCUCAGAAGUAAAUGAGCAUCAUUUCUUCUUCUAAACGGGGCUCCUGAAAAGACACUUAUGAAUCAGGCCCUCAGCUUCAGCCUCUAACAUGACCAUGGAAAGAAGCCCUGAACCUGGGCCGACUCAUGCCAGACUCCACCAGUGCUACCAAGUCCCUGAGAGCUGAUUAGACUGGCAAGCUCCCCAAAAUGCACGGCUGAGCAGCAGGCCUCUUUGGUCAUGUUCUGUAGUGUGAGUGCUUCCAGAUACCAACAACUGGAGAAAAUGAGCAAGUGAAGACUGAAAGUUGGUCCACCCUGACCCUCUCCUACCCUCUGUGGCCCAGUAAGCUGUCAGUAGAGCCAGCAGGGUGUGGCUGUGUACUCAGGCAGGAAGAAGCUGUGUUUUCUCAUUCUGUUGGUUAUUGUGCUUGUGCGUGCACCAAGCUCCAAUGUGAGCACUUUAUCUGCUCUUAUUUAGCCUGUGGUUGGGACUAAAAGACUGGAAGACUUUUUGGUUCAUGUCCCCCAGAAUUUUCUUUCUGAGGCAUGAGUGUCAAGCUUGAGCAAAAGAAGCAGAGAGGAUUACAUAUAAGACUGGAAGCCAAGGAAAGAGGCUUUGGUGGAGAGGAAGUGGGGUCUCCUUCAAUCAAUCGUAGCAGACCUGUCCCUGCCCUGAGAGUGAUCCCAUAGCAGUUGUAGACUGUGGCACCCCAGCAGAACUGGAACAUGGGCUGGUCACCUUCUGCACGAAGAACAACCUCACCACUUACAC